rnacentral:misc_RNA from 1 species
GAUGAAGAACGUAGCGAAAUGCGAUAAGUAAUGUGAAUUGCAGAAUUCAGUGAAUCAUCGAAUCUUUGAACGCAUCUUGCGCUCCUUGGUAUUCCGAGGAGCAUGCCUGUUUGAGUGUCAUCAAGUUCUCAAACUGCAUCCAUUUGAAGGGUGUGGAUUUGGAUUAUGGAGUUUGCAGGCUCUUUGAUUGAGGUCUGCUCCUCUGAAAUGUAUUAGUGGCGAUGUGGAAAAGCUACUGUGGGUGUGAUAAAUAUCUAUGCCUUAUGCAGUGUUCUGCUAUGCCGCUUGCAGGGAGAAAUUUCAUUUUUGACAAACUUGACCUCAAAUCAGGUAGGACUACCCGCUGAACUUAAGCAUAUCAAUAAGCGGAGG